rnacentral:tRNA from 1 species
GCGGGUGUGGCCAAAAUGGCAAAGGCGGCUGGCUUAGAACCAGCAGAUUGAGAGUUCGAAUCUCUCCACCCGCACCA